UGGUGGAGUGAUUUGUCUGGUUAAUUCCGUUAACGAACGAGACCUUAACCUACUAAAUAGUUACGCCAUUUCCGAAUGGCGGCGAACUUCUUAGAGGGACUAUCGACAUCAAAUCGAUGGAAGUAUGAGGCAAUAACA
rnacentral:rRNA from 1 species